UACGUAGGGUGCGAGCGUUGUCCGGAAUUAUUGGGCGUAAAGAGCUUGUAGGCGGUUUGUCGCGUCUGCUGUGAAAAUCCGGGGCUCAACCCCGGACUUGCAGUGGGUACGGGCAGACUGGAGUGUGGUAGGGGAGACUGGAAUUCCUGGUGUAGCGGUGGAAUGCGCAGAUAUCAGGAGGAACACCGAUGGCGAAGGCAGGUCUCUGGGCAUUACCUGACGCUGAGGAGCGAAAGUGUGGGGAGCGAACAGG
rnacentral:rRNA from 1 species